rnacentral:rRNA from 1 species
GACGAACGCUGGCGGCGUGCUUAACACAUGCAAGUCGAACGGAAAGGCCCUGCUUUUGUGGGGUGCUCGAGUGGCGAACGGGUGAGUAACACGUGAGUAACCUGCCCUUGACUUUGGGAUAACUUCAGGAAACUGGGGCUAAUACCGGAUAGGAGCUCCUGCUGCAUGGUGGGGGUUGGAAAGUUUCGGCGGUUGGGGAUGGACUCGCGGCUUAUCAGCUUGUUGGUGGGGUAGUGGCUUACCAAGGCUUUGACGGGUAGCCGGCCUGAGAGGGUGACCGGCCACAUUGGGACUGAGAUACGGCCCAGACUCCUACGGGAGGCAGCAGGGGGGAAGAUUGCACAAUGGGCGGAAGCCUGAUGCAGCAACGCCGCGUGCGGGAUGACGGCCUUCGGGUUGUAAACCGCUUUCGCCUGUGACGAAGCGUGAGUGACGGUAAGGGGUAAAGAAGCACCGGCUAACUACGUGC